GGAAAUUCCAUCCCAAAGCAAGGAAUGGUGCUGCCUUCCAGGCAGAAAAAGCCAAAAAAGGGACACCUGAACCUGUCCCCAAAGAGAACAUCAGAUUGAAGAUUAAACCCAGCAGCAGUGCAAGGCUCUGCUCAUACACAAGGAAAUUCCACCUCAAAGGAAGGAAUGGUGCUGCUUUCCAGGCAGAAAAAGCCAAAAAAGGGACACCUGAAGCUGUCCCCAGAGAGAAGGAGCAGCAGGGGCACAGAGAGCCGACGUGACUCGCUGAGUCCCAAACUCCCCCUGGAAAGGGACCCAAAUGAGCAGGUUUUGGGGAAGUGGGACACAGGGAGCCAGAGGAGUCACAUGGAGAGGAGUGCUGGAUGCAGGAACAAAGGGCUGCAGGGAUCUCUGCUGGGAGUGAUGCUGGCCUGGCUCCCUAACGAGCUGGGCACUUCGUUAGCGGGCACAGAGCUCCAUUCUCUGCCAGCCUGCCAUCCUCCCAGGCAGCAGGGCACCCAGAGCCAUUCUCUGCCAGCCUGCCAGACACCCAGAGCCACAGCUGAUGUCAUUCCUGCUCCCACCCAGCUCCAUUCUCUGCCAGCCUGCCAUCCUCCCACCCAGAGCCAUUCUCUGCCAGCCUGCAGGACACCCAGAGCCAUUCUCUGCCAGCCUGCAGGACACCCAGAGCCAUUCUCUGCCAGCCUGCAGGACACCCAGAGCCAUUCUCUGCCAGCCUGCAGGACACCCAGAGCCAUUCUCUGCCAGCCUGCAGGACACCCAGAGCCAUUCUCUGCCAGCCUGCAGGACACCCAGAGCCAUUCUCUGCCAGCCUGCAGGACACCCAGAGCCAUUCUCUGCCAGCCUGCAGGACACCCAGAGCCAUUCUCUGCCAGCCUGCAGGACACCCAGAGCCAUUCUCUGCCAGCCUGCAGGACACCCAGAGCCAUUCUCUGCCAGCCUGCAGGACACCCAGAGCCAUUCUCUGCCAGCCUGCAGGACACCCAGAGCCAUUCUCUGCCAGCCUGCAGGACACCCAGAGCCAUUCUCUGCCAGCCUGCAGGACACCCAGAGCCAUUCUCUGCCAGCCUGCAGGACACCCAGAGCCAUUCUCUGCCAGCCUGCAGGACACCCAGAGCCAUUCUCUGCCAGCCUGCAGGACACCCAGAGCCAUUCUCUGCCAGCCUGCAGGACACCCAGAGCCACAGCUGAUGUCAUUCCUGCUCCCAGCACAGGAGAGGCCCCCACACACCCCAGGCCUUCGAAACCACCGCUGAGAAUUCCAUUUUAAAAGGUUUUCUAAACAAAGCAGUAGUGGUAAAACUGUGUGUGUCCCCCAGCUGCCACUUCCUGCCACAGCACUGGUAAAAGUUUCCCCAAGUUUCCUGAAAUCAGUUCUGUAAAUCACCCGAGCUUUUCCCA
rnacentral:lncRNA from 1 species